GAUGAACGCUGGCGGCGUGCCUAAUACAUGCAAGUCGAGCGAACAGAUGAGGAGCUUGCUCCUCUGACGUUAGCGGCGGACGGGUGAGUAACACGUGGAUAACCUACCUAUAAGACUGGGAUAACUUCGGGAAACCGGAGCUAAUACCGGAUAAUAUAUUGAACCGCAUGGUUCAAUAGUGAAAGACGGUUUUGCUGUCACUUAUAGAUGGAUCCGCGCCGCAUUAGCUAGUUGGUAAGGUAACGGCUUACCAAGGCAACGAUGCGUAGCCGACCUGAGAGGGUGAUCGGACACACUGGAACUGAGACACGGUCCAUACUCCUACGGGAGGCAGCAGUAGGGAAUCUUCCGCAAUGGGCGAAAGCCUGACGGAGCAACGCCGCGUGAGUGAUGAAGGUCUUCGGAUCGUAAAACUCUGUUAUUAGGGAAGAACAAAUGUGUAAGUAACUAUGCACGUCUUGACGGUACCUAAUCAGAAAGCCACGGCUAACUACGUG
rnacentral:rRNA from 1 species